GACGAACGCUGGCGGCGUGCUUAACACAUGCAAGUCGAACGCUGAAGCCCUUCGGGGUGGAUGAGUGGCGAACGGGUGAGUAACACGUGGGUAAUCUGCCCUGCACUCUGGGAUAAGCCUUGGAAACGGGGUCUAAUACCGGAUAGGACACAUCGCCGCAUGGUGUGUGUGUGGAAAGUUCCGGCGGCGCAGGUUGAGCCCGCGGCCUAUCAGCUUGUUGGUGGGGUGAUGGCCUACCAAGGCGACGACGGGUAGCCGGCCUGAGAGGGUGACCGGCCACACUGGGACUGAGACACGGCCCAGACUCCUACGGGAGGCAGCAGUGGGGAAUCUUGCGCAAUGGGCGAAAGCCUGACGCAGCAACGCCGCGUGGGGGAUGACGGCCUUCGGGUUGUAAACCUCUUUCGACCGGGACGAAGGAUUCGUUUGACGGUACCGGUAGAAGAAGCACCGGCUAACUACGUGCCAGCAGCCGCCGCUGUAA
rnacentral:rRNA from 1 species